AUUGAACGCUGGCGGCAUGCCUUACACAUGCAAGUCGAACGGUAACAGGUCUUCGGAUGCUGACGAGUGGCGAACGGGUGAGUAAUACAUCGGAACGUGCCCGACCGUGGGGGAUAACGAGGCGAAAGCUUUGCUAAUACCGCAUACGAUCUACGGAUGAAAGCGGUGGAUCUUCGGACCUCGCGCGGACGGAGCGGCCGAUGGCAGAUUAGGUAGUUGGUGGGAUAAAAGCUUACCAAGCCGACGAUCUGUAGCUGGUCUGAGAGGAUGAUCAGCCACACUGGGACUGAGACACGGCCCAGACUCCUACGGGAGGCAGCAGUGGGGAAUUUUGGACAAUGGGCGAAAGCCUGAUCCAGCCAUGCCGCGUGCAGGAUGAAGGCCUUCGGGUUGUAAACUGCUUUUGUACGGAACGAAAAGCCUCUUUCUAAUAAAGAGGGGUCAUGACGGUACCGUAAGAAUAAGCACCGGCUAACUACGUG
rnacentral:rRNA from 1 species